rnacentral:rRNA from 1 species
UUUACAGGAGUAUAGCCCAGAGAAAUUUGGAUUAAUCCUCCAUAAUAUCUUUUUCUUGCAUAGGAAAAAGAUUAAAGCUUCGGUGGUAAAAGAUGGGCAUGCGUUUUAUUAGCUAGUAGGUGAGGUAACGGCUCACCUAGGCCACGAUAAAUAGGGGCCCUGAGAGGGGGAUCCCCCACACUGGUACUGAGACACGGACCAGACUCCUACGGGAGGCAGCAGUGAGGAAUAUUGGACAAUGGACGAAAGUCUGAUCCAGCCAUGCCGCGUGCAGGAUGACGGCCCUAUGGGUUGUAAACUGCUUUUAUACAGGAAGAAAC